rnacentral:rRNA from 1 species
UACGAAGGGGGCUAGCGUUGUUCGGAAUUACUGGGCGUAAAGGGCGCGUAGGCGGUUUGACAAGUUGGAUGUGAAAGCCCUGGGCUCAACCCGGGAAUUGCAUUCAAGACUGUUUUACUUGAAUUCGGUAGAGGUUGGUGGAAUUCCCAGUGUAGAGGUGAAAUUCGUAGAGAUUGGGAAGAACACCCGUGGCGAAGGCGGCCAACUGGACCGACAUUGACGCUGAGGCGCGAAAGCGUGGGGAUCAAACAGG